rnacentral:misc_RNA from 1 species
GAAAAUUCUUCCAUAACCAUAAUCUUGGCGAAUAAGUCAGAAUACAAAGUGGCAAAGGCCUAAACAAUCAGUCUCUUACAAGCAAUCCAAACCUAAAUUCAUAGAAUCCAACCCCAGGAAAACCAUCCCUACCCAAUAAAAUCAUCGAAAACUUGCUGCUCCACAGGAACAAGAAAAUUGCCAUUAACACACAGCAACAGCAUCGCCGGGCUUCCCAGGAUCGGAGCUGAUGCAACAACUGAGUGAUAAGAUUGGAAGAACCCAAGGCAAGUUGCAAUUCUCAUAGUACAAGCUUGAGAAAUUCCAACCGUUGCUGGACCUCAAC